UUUCUUUAUUGUUGAACACAUCAAAUCGGAAUUUAUGGUGUUGUAACACUUUAUAUGUGCAGUCGUUUUAUUAUAUACUAAGUUUAUUAUAUUCUUGCAAAAAUAUCGGAAAUGUAAAAUUUACUUUCGAAUUUUCAAAUAUUUGUAACACAUGAUCCUAUGUGCAAAAUGUAUCCUAUCUACGAUUAUACUUGGUAUUAUAUUUGUACAUACGGAGGCUAAACAAAAGAAACGAUACUAUGGGAUACCAUGCAUAGAUGCAGUUAUUUGUGCUCACUCUAAGAAACGAGUCUGUGGGUUGAUCCAAAAGACUGGAGAAGUGCGCUGGUUCUUAGACAAAUGUGAUAUAUUAGAAUUCAAUUGCGAAUAUGGCACUGCAUUUAAAAAAACUAGCAAAAAAUUCUGCAGACAUGUACCACGGUUAUAAAAAUACUUCAUAAAUAAACUAAUGUUUUACUUAAAGAAUAGAAGAAAUAAUAUAUCAUUGAAAUUUAUUCUAAAACUAAAAAUUACAAUUAUUA